GGAGGAUUGGCCGAGUGGUAAGGCACCGGCUUGCUAAGCCGUGGUCGGGCCUGGAAAGCCCGCGCACGUUCGAUUCGUGCAUCCUCCGCAA
rnacentral:tRNA from 1 species